rnacentral:rRNA from 1 species
GACGAACGCUGGCGGCGUGCUUAACACAUGCAAGUCGAACGAUGAAGAAGAGAAACGCGAACUUCGGUUCAAAUUUCACUUCGGAUUAGUGGCAGACGGGUGAGUAACGCGUGAGCAACCUACCUCUUACAAAGGGAUAGCCUCGGGAAACCGUGAUUAAUACCAUAUGACACAUUCAUAAGGCAUCUUAAGAAUGUUAAAGCUACGGCGGUAAGAGAUGGGCUCGCGUCCCAUUAGCUAGUUGGUGAGGUAACGGCCCACCAAGACGACGAUGGGUAACCGGCCUGAGAGGGUGAACGGUCACAUUGGAACUGAGACACGGUCCAAACUCCUACGGGAGGCAGCAGUGGGGAAUAUUGCACAAUGGAGGGAACUCUGAUGCAGCGACGCCGCGUGAGCGAUGAAGGAAUUCGUUUCGUAAAGCUCUGUUCUAUGGGAAGAAAAGGACUGUACCAUAGGAGAAAGCCCCGGCUAAAUACGUG